rnacentral:misc_RNA from 1 species
UUGUGGAGGAGGACGCCGAAGGUGGGGCUAAUGACUGGGGUGAAGUCGUAACAAGGUAGCCGUACCGGAAGGUGCGGCUGGAUCACCUCCUAACAGGGAGACAACAAAAUGUUUAAUAUUAUUAUUUUGUCACCUUAGGUCGAUCGGUAUCUCACAUUCUUAAUUCAUUAAGGAUUUCAUUUCCUAAGUUUUUCUAGGUCACACCCAUUAUUUUUCCUGGGCCAUUAGCUCAGGUGGUUAGAGCGCACCCCUGAUAAGGGUGAGGUCCCUGGUUCAAGUCCAGGAUGGCCCAUAUCUCUAUGUUGGGGGUAUAGCUCAGUUGGUAGAGCGCCUGCUUUGCAAGCAGGAUGUCAGCGGUUCGAGUCCGCUUACCUCCACUGAUUACCACCUCUUCCAUAAUCUGUAGAAGGGAAAUUUUUGGUUGUGAUCAAAUUCUGAACGAAUCUAGCUUCCUAAUGAAAUCAUUAAGAUGCUGGACUCAUUGAAUUACUUCAUUGUUUUCAGAGAACCUUGACAACUGCAUAGAUUAUUUUUAAAGACAAUAAGCAUUUUUAAUGAUGCAGAUUUAUUAUUUUUGCAAAUGCAUUAAUAACAAUUCUAUUAAGCUGAUGCUUCAAUUAUGAAGUUAUUGGUCAAGCUACAA